CCGGCUGUCGGUCUCGAAGUAGUGGCAGUGGCUGAUGAGCUCACCUGUCCUGGGGUUUGGGGUGCGAUGCACGUCCCAUAAAAGAGAUGAGUACUGGCUCGCGCCUGUUUUCGGGAGCUCAGCUUGCCCCAGAGCCUCCGUGGACGCACCGCGCGUUAAGCAGAGCCGCGUGUCAUGCUCAGGACCUGGGCAGCGGGCGGACCCACAGGCCCGAGUCCCUCGGGUUUCCGGUGAAAAACGGCGCGUGGGUGGUUAUCUAUGGAAAUUCUCAAGAAGUUCACAGAAAGUGUGUUCGCGAGUAUAAUUAUGUUAUACCAAUUUAUUUCACCAGUCUUCCUGCCUGUGCUCCAGACCUCAAGUGUUGUGAAGGAAACCAUUCAUAAAAUCCCUACAUUUGCCGGGCCUGGUGGCGCACGCCUGUAAUCCCAGCACUCGGGAGGGUAUGAUGUCUGGACUCCCCAGCCCUAUCCUAGUGCUGGGAAUCCAACCCAAGGCCUCAGGCAUACUAGCUUCACCAACCCGUUAACUUUUAUCAUUUUGGUAAGUCCUUCUGACAGGUGUGAUGUGGUUUCACACUAAAAAAACUGUAUUUCUCAAGAAAUAUCAAUUAGGGCCGGGGAUUUAGCUCAGUGGUUC